rnacentral:lncRNA from 1 species
GCAGCAGUGGUAUAAAACCAGGGUGUUUCAGGCAAAGUGGUAUUCCCUGACCCCAAGGGCAUCUGGGUACUAGUGAUCCCUGGCACGUUUGUAGCGGUCUGAAGACCCAGACCUUCCUUGUCAGGCAAGUAACUAUGGGCUGUCUUUCAGGCUGACCACCAUUCAAUCUCUCUGUUGAAGUUCCAUCAUAGUGGAACCAUCUAAAUGGAUAACACAUCUGCAGUUUGGUAUAGCACCCUGCCUAGGCUUCAACACUACCUGGGGUCCCCCAGUGCCCUUGUUGCUUUGGUAUCUCCCCUGAAGGUGAAGACCUGUGAGAGGCGUCAGCCAUGAAUCUCCUGUAUGUGCUCUUCCCCUUCUUCGUCCUGCUGGUCCAGGGUGCUGCAGGAAACCGUGAUGAAUCCCUGGACUUUCUGAGCAGGUUGCCUGCCCCUCUGGCUGCUGGAACCAUCUCGUGAUGUCCUCUCCCCAUCCUGCCUCUGCCAUCCCAAGGUGGUGUGACAGCAGGAGUGGAAGUGCUGCUCCUGCUGGGUGCUCAUGGGUUGGAGAUAUCCCAUCAUGGGCCUGGUGUUGCUUGGGGAAGAAACAGGAUGCCUCCUCCUCUUUUCCCAUCUGGACACUAUGAGACCAGCCUUGCCGCUCUCUGCCAUCAGACACUGCCCUCAGCCCUUCUACAAACCAACGCACGAAGCUGUGCUGCUGCUGCAGUGCACACUUCAUUCCCAGACAUGACUAUCAAAGGUCACAUUGCCAAGCGGUGCCACUCAAGGGAGUAUUAAGCAUUUGGACAAGCUCAGGCAGAACUGCAGGAGGUGAAAGAGGGGCUGAGACAAGAAGCGUUUCAGUACCAAGUAUUAUGUGACCUGUGAAGUAUGUAUACCACACCUUCCACAACAUAUACCAUGUGCAACACAUUUGAGGGGGUUCAGUUCCUCUGAUUUCAUCUGGGUGGCCACAAACACAGCAGUGGCUAGGCUCCCAUCACAAGCAAUAGAGUCAGGAGAACCAACAGAAUGGUGAGGAUGGCUUCAGUUGCUUGGACAUUGGCAGCAGUGCCAUUUCUAGUUCUGUGUGGUAUUCUGCCAUGUGCUGCUGUGGAAGAGUCAAGACUGCUUGCAAGUCCAGUCUAUUACAGGGUUGUAAAAGUUAAAAUCUGUAACUUUAACUGUCAUAAACCAGAUCUUUUAAGGACCUUCUGCGUCUAGUUCAGUAACACCAUUGAACACUGUUUAGUGUAGGAAAUCCUACAAGGGACAGCAAGCUAGAUGUUACAUUUUCGUAAUGCAUUUGAGCUUGAAGUAAAUAUAAUAUGAUAAACCUGGUUAUCUGCUGGUUAAGUAAUAGUUAACAACUG